rnacentral:rRNA from 1 species
CCCUUAGAUGUUCUGGGCUGCACGCGCGCUACACUGAAGCGUUCAACGAGUAUUCACCUUGCCCGGGAGGGUUGGGUAAUCUUUUCAAAACGCUUCGUGAUGGGGAUAGAUUAUUGCAAUUAUUAAUCUUCAACGAGGAAUUCCUAGUAAGCGCGAGUCAUCAGCUCGUGCUGAUUACGUCCCUGCCCUUUGUACACACCGCCCGUCGCUCCUACCGAUUGAAUGGUCCGGUGAAGUCUCCGGACUGAGUACUUUUAGUACUUGGGAAGUUGACUAAACCUUACUAUUUAGAGGAAGGUGAAGUCGUAACA